UACGUAGGGGGCAAGCGUUGUCCGGAUUUAUUGGGCGUAAAGAGCGUGUAGGCGGUUUGGUAGGUCCGCUGUGAAAACUCGAGGCUCAACCUCGAGACGCCGGUGGAAACCACCUGGCUAGAGUCCGGAAGAGGAGAGUGGAAUUCCUGGUGUAGCGGUGAAAUGCGCAGAUAUCAGGAGGAACACCGGUGGCGAAGGCGGCCCUCUGGACGGUGACUGACGCUGAGACGCGAAAGCGUGGGGAGCAAACAGG
rnacentral:rRNA from 1 species